ensembl:lncRNA
GAACGUUUCAACAUCCACUGUCAAGUUAUGACCGAGGUCAGGGUCUUUGCAGCGGCAGACAAGUUCUGGGAGGAGGUGGUCCAUGAAGAAAGAUUCAGCCUUGGGAAGAGUUUCUUGUAGAAAGGGCUCAUCUCUCCGUAGCCGGCAAAUGAUGCUGCUUGUCUUCGUCCACACCAUGAAGUCACACAUGUCCAUUUGAGAAACAUACAUUUGUAACUGGAUCUGUGAGUAAUAUGGGUGGGUGGGUCGCAGGUCAUACCGUCAAAACCUGGUAAGUUGAGUGAAAUUCAUGGACAUUUCAGUAAGUGUUUUUAUGAUUUGUGAUGCAAUGAAAAACAAAGCGAUUUUUCAGUAAAAUGACAUUUUAUUGCAACUGUGUCAGGGAGAACUUACAAGCAAUACGGCAUCUACAUUGAUAUCAGUUCACUCCGAAGCCUAACCUAUGCAUGUCUACCUGGAUGUCGGUCUGGCACUAUUUUAUAAUCUUCUUAGCAUUGUCUUCCUUCAUAUAUUAAUAUUGUCUGGCGUCAUAUUCUCUUCUCUUACUUCCUGAAGGCCUCCACACACCGGCGCCGCACAGCGUCGCGUCAAAAAGUCUGCCCCCAUUAUUCCGGUUGUACUAGCACACACCGGCGCCGACUAGCCGCGCGGCAGCGUUCCGCGCCGCGCCGCCCAACUACUCUUCGAGACAAUGUUCUAUUCCCGAGCGUCGCCGCCCCUGAAAAAGCGCUUUGUAAAAGCUGAGUUGUACAUCCCGGGUCCCGUAGGCACCUCCAUAUCUACCCCUCACCACUGGAUGUCGCCCUCUUUCGUUUGUGAUAAACAAUUACGAGAAUGGACGAUGAGAGACUGGUCGUCGAGGUGGAAAAAUAUGUCGAAUAGUAUGACCAAAGUUCCCGUCAUUACAAAGACAACUCCAAAAAGGUCAUUGCCUGGCGAGCCAUAGCUCUGGAGAUUGGAUCUUCAGAGAAAUCAACAAUGGUGGACUAAGUACCCAAACCAUUAACCAUAAUGGGAAAUAGACGAAAUCAAGUCACAUAUAAUCACACCAUGUAGGUAGAAACCAGAUUACUUGUAAUAUAUAUUUUUUUAUUUAAGGCAAGGCAACUUCAUUCAUAUAGCACUUUUAAUACAUGAAGCAGACUCAAAGUGAUUAACAUAGAAACAUUCUCAUACAAUAAAAUAGAUAAGUAAAAGGAGGCAAAGCUCAAAAAUGCAUUGUCAUGUAUUAACUGUCUCUCUGGUAUCAGAUCAUGUAUUAACUGUCUCUCUGGAUUUAGGGAAAAAUAACAUUAAGUGUCUCGAGC